GAGCCGGGGUGGCCGAGCACGCUGCCGGAGUAGAAGCACAGCUCGGCUGACCGUCCGCGGCGUCCGCCUGCGCCGGCCUCCUCCACCUCGAAGCCUCCGGACAGGAAGCGCAGGUCGCGGCGCAUCUGCAGGGCGUGGUGGCUGGAAUCCUCUCCUGUUUGUCCACUCCACCCUCCACUGCUCCAGGGGCUGCCACUCAUUGCUGGGCAUCUGAAGCUUCUGGAAGUCUCCACACACAUCCUGCUCAUGGCCAGACUGUGCUUCUGAGGUCGCAGCCUGCCUUGGAGUGAGUGUCUAUAGCCUUGAAGUGUCCUCACUGUUGAAAAGACAACUCCAUGCUUACGUCCUGCUGAAGGUCAGCGGAGGCACCAUCUAGCCAGGAGACAAGCCUUGCAGCCUGCAUGUCCGAAUGAACAGGAUAAGGGUCUUCAGUGCUAGAGCUCACAGCUUCAUCCCAACCAGCUCCCCUUGAUGAGGAUGAUUGAGAAAAGCAACGUAUUUCUCAUUGUUUUGUAAAGCGCCUUUCUCUUUUCCCGUGUCUUUCUCUUCUUUUAGCAUUUCCUCUCAAGAUUCCCUUCUUCCUCUCCUAGUCCUUUCUUUGCUCAAAGAAGUCACCUUCUCUGGUA